AUUUAUAUAGUUUAUAAAAAACAUUACAUUUUCACUGUAAAAAUAAAGAAAACUUUUAUAAAUA
rnacentral:tRNA from 1 species